rnacentral:rRNA from 1 species
GACGAACGCUGGCGGCGUGCCUAACACAUGCAAGUCGAGCGGUAAGGCCUUUCGGGGUACACGAGCGGCGAACGGGUGAGUAACACGUGGGUGAUCUGCCCUGCACUUCGGGAUAAGCCUGGGAAACUGGGUCUAAUACCGGAUAUGACCUCCUAUCGCAUGGUGGGUGGUGGAAAGAUUUAUCGGUGCAGGAUGGGCCCGCGGCCUAUCAGCUUGUUGGUGGGGUAAUGGCCUACCAAGGCGACGACGGGUAGCCGACCUGAGAGGGUGACCGGCCACACUGGGACUGAGACACGGCCCAGACUCCUACGGGAGGCAGCAGUGGGGAAUAUUGCACAAUGGGCGAAAGCCUGAUGCAGCGACGCCGCGUGAGGGAUGACGGCCUUCGGGUUGUAAACCUCUUUCAGCAGGGACGAAGCGCAAGUGACGGUACCUGCAGAAGAAGCACCGGCUAACUACGUGCCAGCAGCCGCGGUAAUACGUAGGGUGCAAGCGUUGUCCGGAAUUACUGGGCGUAAAGAGUUCGUAGGCGGUUUGUCGCGUCGUUUGUGAAAACCAGCAGCUCAACUGCUGGCUUGCAGGCGAUACGGGCAGACUUGAGUACUGCAGGGGAGACUGGAAUUCCUGGUGUAGCGGUGAAAUGCGCAGAUAUCAGGAGGAACACCGGUGGCGAAGGCGGGUCUCUGGGCAGUAACUGACGCUGAGGAACGAAAGCGUGGGUAGCGAACAGGAUUAGAUACCCUGGUAGUCCACGCCGUAAACGGUGGGCGCUAGGUGUGGGUUCCUUCCACGGAAUCCGUGCCGUAGCUAACGCAUUAAGCGCCCCGCCUGGGGAGUACGGCCGCAAGGCUAAAACUCAAGGAAUUGACGGGGGCCCGCACAAGCGGCGGAGCAUGUGGAUUAAUUCGAUGCAACGCGAAGAACCUUACCUGGGUUUGACAUAUACCGGGAAAGCUGCAGAGAUGUGGCCCCCCUUGUGGUCGGUAUACAGGUGGUGCAUGG